GGCUUGUUCGGGCCUGAGCUGGCGCUACGAAGUUCCGGUCCAGGUCUCUGACUUCGGGCUUGUUCGCUGGUGGCGUCGGAGCCGAGCCGGACUGGUCAGGGUUCCAGGACAUAGUCUGAGGCAAGAUGGAGGGUAUGAGGGGCCUUCACACUUCACUUCAUCCCUUCUACCCAUCACAACAUACAAAGCAACUACACCUGGAUUUUUCCAAACAACUUUUAUUUCCUCAGAGUCUUCCUUAAUCCUAUGGAACAAGAAGCUGCCACUGAAUAGGGCCCAGUAUAGGGGCUUGCUUUUCUACUCCCUCCCCCCAAUAUAAAAAUAUAGACUUUUUUUUGUGGUCCC
rnacentral:lncRNA from 1 species